AUGUCACCCCCUGGUGCAGCCGAGGAACCUGGACCCCAUAGAGUAUACGGGCAAAAGAGAAGGUCACACCGCUGGCGGGCACAGAGUGGCCUGAAGGUCCCGCUCCAGCCCCAGCCAGGGUCACCCCUGAUUCCAUCACGAGGCGGAUGCAAACUCCUGAGUCAUCGUCUGGGGAGAUGGGCUGCAGGGCUGGUCACCACUUCCUGCCACCUCCUUGGUGCUCUUCCAGAUGCUUCUGGUGGGAUUAAUGGCUCCCAUGGACCUUCUGAGGCUCAACAUUCAUCCCUCAGCAGGGGUCACGAUCUCUGGCUUGGAAAGGACUUCAGAGAUCACAGAAUCCAGGCCCUUCGAGCACCACAACACCACUCGGUAAGAAGUAAUGAGUAGCUGGCAUAGAGCACAUGCUUUGUAUGCAUCAGGCACUGGGGUGAGCUCUUUAUGGGGUGCCUCUACCUCACCCUCAAAACAAAAUCUAGGGACUUCCCUGGCGGUCCAGUGGUUAAGACUCCACGCUGCCAACACAGAGAGCAUGGGUUCAAUCCCUGGUCAGGGAGCUAAAAUCCCACAUGUCAUGCAGUGCGGCCAAAAGAUAAAUAAUAAUAGUAACUUUAAAAUAAAUAAAUAAAAACAAAAAUACA
rnacentral:lncRNA from 1 species